AUAGCAGACCCCACGUUAGCUGAAAUGGGAAAAAACUUGAAGGAGGCAGUGAAGAUGCUGGAGGACAGUCAGAGAAGAACAGAAGAGGAAAAUGGAAAGAAGCUCAUAUCCAGAGAUAUUCCAGGCCCACUCCAGGGCAGUUGCUUAAGAAAGAAAAAAAAAACUUGAAGCAACGCCGGUUGAAUGAGGGAAGUAGCGGGAGAGUGGCGGGGGAUGUGUGCUGUUCCCAUCAGCCCAUCAACUCUUUUCAUUCUGCAGUGGACAAGAUAUGGUGAGCAUCCUCCAGUUAGUUCAGAAUCUGAUGCAUGGAGAUGAAGAUGAGGAGCCCCAGAGCCCCAGAAUCCAAAAUAUUGGAGAACAAGGUCAUGUGGCUUUGUUGGGACAUAGUCUGGGAGCUUAUAUUUCAACUCUGGACAAAGAGAAGCUGAGAAAACUUACAACUAGGAUACUUUCAGAUACCACCUUAUGCCUAUGCAGAAUUUUCAGAUAUGAAAAUGGGUGUGCUUAUUUCCAUGAAGAGGAAAGAGAAGGACUUGCAAAGAUAUGUAGGCUUGCCAUUCAUUCUCGAUAUGAAGACUUCGUGGUGGAUGGCUUCAGUGUGUUAUAUAACAAGAAGCCUGUCAUAUAUCUUAGUGCUGCUGCUAGACCUGGCCUGGGCCAAUACCUUUGUAAUCAGCUCGGCUUGCCCUUCCCCUGCUUGUGCCGUGUACCCUGUAACACUAUGUUUGGAUCCCAGCAUCAGAUGGAUGUUGCCUUCCUGGAGAAACUGAUUAAAGAUGAUAUAGAGCGAGGAAGACUGCCCCUGUUGCUUGUCGCAAAUGCAGGAACGGCAGCAGUAGGACACACAGACAAGAUUGGGAGAUUGAAAGAACUCUGUGAGCAGUAUGGCAUAUGGCUUCAUGUGGAGGGUGUGAAUCUGGCAACAUUGGCUCUGGGUUAUGUCUCCUCAUCAGUGCUGGCUGCAGCUAAAUGUGAUAGCAUGACGAUGACUCCUGGCCCGUGGCUGGGUUUGCCAGCUGUUCCUGCGGUGACACUGUAUAAACACGAUGACCCUGCCUUGACUUUAGUUGCUGGUCUUACAUCAAAUAAGCCCACAGACAAACUCCGUGCCCUGCCUCUGUGGUUAUCUUUACAAUACUUGGGACUCGAUGGGUUUGUGGAGAGGAUCAAGCAUGCCUGUCAACUGAGUCAACGGUUGCAGGAAAGUUUGAAGAAAGUGAAUUACAUCAAAAUCUUGGUGGAAGAUGAGCUCAGCUCCCCAGUGGUGGUGUUCAGAUUUUUCCAGGAAUUACCAGGCUCAGAUCCGGUGUUUAAAGCCGUCCCAGUGCCCAACAUGACACCUUCAGCAGUCGGCCGGGAGAGGCACUCGUGUGACGCGCUGAAUCGCUGGCUGGGAGAACAGCUGAAGCAGCUGGUGCCUGCAGGCGGCCUCACAGUCAUGGAUCUGGAAGCUGAGGGCACGUGUUUGCGGUUCAGCCCUUUGAUGACCGCAGCAG
rnacentral:sRNA from 1 species